UGCAAGUCGUACGCUUUUUCUUUCACCGGAGCUUGCUCCACCGAAAGAAAAAGAGUGGCGAACGGGUGAGUAACACGUGGGUAACCUGCCCAUCAGAAGGGGAUAACACUUGGAAACAGGUGCUAAUACCGUAUAACAAGUAAAACCGCAUGGUUUUACUUUGAAAGGCGCUUUUGCGUCACUGAUGGAUGGACCCGCGGUGCAUUAGCUAGUUGGUGAGGUAACGGCUCACCAAGGCAACGAUGCAUAGCCGACCUGAGAGGGUGAUCGGCCACAUUGGGACUGAGACACGGCCCAAACUCCUACGGGAGGCAGCAGUAGGGAAUCUUCGGCAAUGGACGAAAGUCUGACCGAGCAACGCCGCGUGAGUGAAGAAGGUUUUCGGAUCGUAAAACUCUGUUGUUAGAGAAGAACAAGGAUGAGAGUAAAAUGUUCAUCCCUUGACGGUAUCUAACCAGAAAGCCACGGCUAACUACGUGCCAGCAGCCGCGGUAAUACGUAGGUGGCAAGCGUUGUCCGGAUUUAUUGGGCGUAAAGCGAGCGCAGGCGGUUUCUUAAGUCUGAUGUGAAAGCCCCCGGCUCAACCGGGGAGGGUCAUUGGAAACUGGGAAACUUGAGUGCAGAAGAGGAGAGUGGAAUUCCAUGUGUAGCGGUGAAAUGCGUAGAUAUAUGGAGGAACACCAGUGGCGAAGGCGGCUCUCUGGUCUGUAACUGACGCUGAGGCUCGAAAGCGUGGGGAGCAAACAGGAUUAGAUACCCUGGUAGUCCACGCCGUAAACGAUGAGUGCUAAGUGUUGGAGGGUUUCCGCCCUUCAGUGCUGCAGCUAACGCAUUAAGCACUCCGCCUGGGGAGUACGACCGCAAGGUUGAAACUCAAAGGAAUUGACGGGGGCCCGCACAAGCGGUGGAGCAUGUGGUUUAAUUCGAAGCAACGCGAAGAACCUUACCAGGUCUUGACAUCCUUUGACCACUCUAGAGAUAGAGCUUCCCCUUCGGGGGCAAAGUGACAGGUGGUGCAUGGUUGUCGUCAGCUCGUGUCGUGAGAUGUUGGGUUAAGUCCCGCAACGAGCGCAACCCUUAUUGGUAAGUUGCCAUCAUUUAAGUUGGGCACUCUA
rnacentral:rRNA from 1 species